rnacentral:rRNA from 1 species
UGCCAGCCGCCGCGGUAAUACGGAGGUGGCAAACGUUGCUCGGAAUCACUGGGCUUAAAGGGCGUGUAGGCGGCUUUCUAAGUCGGGUGUGAAAUCCCUCGGCUCAACCGAGGAAUUGCAUUCGAUACUGGAUAGCUAGAGUGCGGUAGGGGCAAGUGGAACUCCAGGUGUAGCGGUGAAAUGCGUAGAUAUCUGGAGGAACGCCGGUGGCGAAAGCGACUUGCUGGCCCGCAACUGACGCUGAGGCGCGAAAGCUAGGGGAGCGAACGGGAUUAGAUA